UGUUUGCAACAUAAUACCAGCAUCAAUGCCAUCAAAAGCAUUGAUGAAGCUGUGUUUACUUAAAAAGUGCCCCGUUGAUAAUCCUUUUACAAGUUUUUGUGAUGUUCCAUUCCUAUUUGACUACUCAUAUUUAUGCUUUAUUUUCUCCCUUGAAUCACAGGUAGCUGGAAGGUAAAAACUUUCCUUCAAAGACAGCAGGAAGUUCUGGCUAAAGGAGUUCUAUACAAUAUGUGAACUGAUUACCAGCAUCUCAGUGCUUUGAAAUUUUUCCUGUUCAUUUGGAGAUGGAAAAUUAUAGGACUUCUCAGCCUCCAUGAAUGCAUGAACAAGUUAUGACUAUUAAUCAUGAUAUGUCAACUUCAUUGGAUUAAGAAAUGCCUCACAGGGAUACACAGUUAAAAGUUUACCUUGAGUCUCAGAAGAGACUUUGGCUUGUACUUUUGAGUGAUGCUGGGACUGCUGAGACACAGAUUACUCUGUUUCAGUUGUAGAUACCAUGGAAGCACCUUUGUCCUGCCACACCCUUUCAUUGUGAUGUGUCUGCCUUAGAGCCAGCCAACCAUGGGCUGAAUCCCGUGAACCUGUGAGCCAAAUUAAACAUCUCCUCCUUUAUGUGUGGUUGUCAGGUAGUUUGUCUUGCAACAGAAAAGCUGACUUAUGCACCAAUCAUUCAUAAUAAUACAAACACACAUGCUAUUGGUUCUUCUUUUCUGGAGAACUCUGACUAAUGUAAUAAGAUUAAAUGUGAGUAUAUUGAAUUCAAACAGACUAGAAUUACAUUUAUGUUUUCUCUGUUCUGAUCAUGGCAAGCCUAUUCACUUUAUCUAAAGAAUGAAAAAAUACUGCUGAUAUGAUCUCAUAGACUUUUCAGCAA